UACGUAGGGUGCGAGCGUUAAUCGGAAUUACUGGGCGUAAAGCGUGCGCAGGCGGCUUUGCAAGACAGAUGUGAAAUCCUCGGGCACAACCUGGGAACUGCAUUUGUGACUGCAAGGCUAGAGUACGGCAGAGGGGGAUGGAAUUCCGCGUGUAGCAGUGAAAUGCGUAGAUAUGCGGAGGAACACCAAUGGCGAAGGCAAUC
rnacentral:rRNA from 1 species